rnacentral:rRNA from 1 species
GCAUAAUCAUUUGCCGUUUAAUUGAUGGCUGGAAUGAAUGAAUAUACGAGAGCUCAACUGUCUCAUUUUUACAAAUAUAAAUUGACCCUCAAGUGAAGAGACUUGAAUCUUUUAAAAAGACGAAAAGACCCUAUAGAGCUUUACCUAAAGUUUAUAUUAUAUAAACUAAAGGUUUAGUUGGGGCAACUAGAGAGCACCUAAAACCUCUCUUUAAACCUACUAAUAAUGAUCCGUUUUUACGAUAAGUAGAAAAAGCUACCUUAGGGAUAACAGGCUAAUCCUCUUUAAGAGACCAUAUUGACAAGAGGGA